UACGUAGGAUGCAAGCGUUGUCCGGAAUUAUUGGGCGUAAAGAGCGAGCAGGCGGCAUACCAAGUUGGACGUGAAAUUUUAGGGCUUAACCCUAAAGGGUCGUCCAAAACUGGUAAGCUAGAGUGCAGGAGAGGAAAGCGGAAUUCCCGGUGUAGUGGUGAAAUGCGUAGAUAUCGGGAGGAACACCAGAGGCGAAGGCGGCUUUCUGGCCUGUAACUGACGCUGAGGCGCGAAGGCUGGGGUAGCGAACAGG
rnacentral:rRNA from 1 species